GGUUUCACAGGCCGUGUUGGCGAUCAGGGAGUUAACGGCUCACAGGGAGAGUUGGGGCCUGUUGGAGUCAUCGGCCCCAGAGGCCCCCAGGGACCCCAGGGUUUAGAUGGUGAGAGUGGGCCUCCCAGGACUCAGGGGAAUCCAGGGACAGCCUGGGAUGAGUGGUGCCCUUGGUCCGAAAGGUGAUCCUGGGCCUAUGGGGACAAUGGGUAUCCGGGGUGAGCGAGGGUUCGAGGGGCCCAUGG